UCUAAUCUCCGCGGCUAUGGAUCUCUCUCGUUUUCCUAUCUCCUUCUCCCUCACUUUCUCUGCUAAAAACUGGUAUCAUUAGAUUAAUUCAUGUAUUUCUUAUUUGUUGUUAAAUUGAAGAUUUAUUUGGGCAGCCAUUUUCUGUAGUACGAUGAUUAGCUAUUGAUCGCUUUCAUUGAUUCUAUUUUUUUGAGUUAUUUUGAAUGAAACUCUUAAUACAUCUCCAUCAAUCAGAUCAAUUCAACUAAGGCUAGCAGAUAAACCUCGAUGGGUUGCAACUUGCAAGCUUCAAUUAUUAUCACACUGUCGAUUAUAUAGGGCUUUCAUUGAUGUUUCAAAGCCAUGGGAGAAUGAACUAAUCAAUUACAGUCUUCCUCGGAAGCCGGUAUUGGAUGUCAAGCAAACAACAGAAUAAGCAGACCUCAACUCAGUUUUUAGAAAUUUUAGAAUUGACUAUGAACAAGAUCUAGUGUGAUGGUUAUACACUCCUUAGCUUGAAGGGAAAAUGGAAGGCGGAACAUAUUGACAUCCUAGGUACUAACAAGAAAGGUUGACAUUCAAAGGCCUUAAGUCCCACCUACUGCUCAAGGCAUUGACUUUAAAUUGGUGCAAUAUGAAUCAUAUAAUGCCCAAUACUUUCCCUAGUGAUGGAAUGUUUUCAUCUUUGUUUAAUCAACUUCAAGCUCCUCUGGUUUCGGGUUUGCUUGCGAUGCGUCAAUCUUGUCUACUGGUCAAAGACU